rnacentral:misc_RNA from 1 species
UACGGAGGGUGCGAGCGUUAAUCGGAAUUACUGGGCGUAACGCGCGCGUAGGUGGCUUGAUAAGCCGGUUGUGAAAGCACCGGGCUCAACCUGGGAACGGCAUCUGGAACUGUCAGGCUAGAGUGCAGGAGAGGAAGGUAGGAUUCCCGGUGUAGCGGUGAAAUGCGUAUAGAUCGGGAGGAAUACCAGUGGCGAAGGCGGCCUUCGGGACUGACACUGACACUGAGGUGCGAAAGCGUUGGUAGCAAACAGG